AAAUGGAGUGCCUGAAAAAAAGGAUAACUUUGAUAGAGUUACAUAUGUGACCCCCGCCACCUCCAUU
rnacentral:tRNA from 1 species